AACGAACGCUGGCGGCGCGCUUAACACAUGCAAGUCGAACGAGAAGGCGUAGCAAUACGCUUGUACAGUGGCGAACGGGUGAGUAAUACGUGGGCGACCUACCCUCGAGUGGGGAAUAACCCGCCGAAAGGCGGGCUAAUGCCGCGUACGCUUCCAUCUUUAUGGAGGUGGAGGGAAAGCCGUGCCGUGGGCACGGCGCUCAAGGAUGGGCUCACGUCCUAUCAGCUUGUUGGUAGGGAACGCCUACCAAGGCUCCGACGGGUAGCUGGUCUGAGAGGACGAUCAGCCACACUGGCACUGCGACACGGGCCAGACUCCUACGGGAGGCAGCAGUGAGGAAUAUUGCGCAAUGGGCGAAAGCCUGACGCAGCGACGCCGCGUGGGGGA
rnacentral:rRNA from 1 species